UACGUAGGUGGCAAGCGUUGUCCGGAUUUAUUGGGUUUAAAGGGUGCGUAGGCGGUCUAAUAAGUCAGUGCUGAAAUAUCCCGGCUUAACCGGGAGGGUGGCAUUGAUACUGUUGGACUUGAGUAGAGUUGAGGUUGGCGGAAUUGACGGUGUAGCGGUGAAAUGCUUAGAUAUCGUCAAGAACACCGAUAGUGAAGACAGCUAACUAAGCUCAAACUGACGCUGAGGCACGAAAGUGUGGGGAUCAAACAGG
rnacentral:rRNA from 2 species